UCCUUCUCAGUUAAAGUUUAAUCGAACUACAAUUAAUUUUUAUAUGUUAACAUUUAUCUGUAUUUUUACAGCGGGUGGUCAUCGUAAUAAUGAUGCAACAACGUCUCUCAUGUACAUACAUGAAUGCUGUCGAUAAUCUUUCUUUAUGCACGCCUGAAAAAAAGUCUUUAGAAUGUUUGUAAAAAAAUUGCAGCCUCUUUAUCAACAUCCAUAUGAGCCUACUAUCACAAAACGAAUGAAAGAAAAAUAUGAAGAAGCAAAAUUGAAAGAUAAAGAAGAAUUGAAAAAGGCAGAUUCAAUAUGUCUUACCACAUACAUUUGGACUCAUCAGCACAUAAUGUGCAGUUACCUUGAUUAUGAAAUGACUUCUUAUGAACUUGGUGCGUACUAUUUAACCGAACGAAAAACAAUUCCAUAUUUAAUCGAAAGAUUAAAUGAAAUUUGUGAAGAGUGGGGGAUUGAUAAACAUAAAAUCAGUGCGGUGCUGCCAGACGGAGGAGCCAACAUAAAAGGGGCUAUCAAACAACAUUUUGGAGAAGCAAAACAUGUUUCAUGUAUUGGUCACACUCUCAAUAAUGUUGGACAAAGUCUUAUUUAAGUUGAUAUUACACAGCCGGCAUCUGAAUCUGAUCAAAUUGAGAUGCUUAAAUCCCUCGAUGAAAAUGAUAGUGAUACGGUAAAUAUCUCGGAUCAUAAUCAGAAAUCACAACUAAGAAAUUUACUCGUCAAGGUUAAAAAAAUAGUUAAACUUUUUAAAUGUAGUGAAAAUGCCUCUCGAGAUUUGAAAAUCUUACAAGAAAAAUCUGGAUCAAACCAUCGUUAAAAUUAAUACAAGAAGUUAGAACUCGCUGGAACUCAUUCUAUGAGAUGUUAGACCGUUUUAUUAAUCUCGCUGAUUACGUGAUCAAAGCCACCAGACGUUUUAUCAGGUGAUGAUCUUCUUACGCUUAUUGAAAUAAAGGAUGUUUUGUAUCCUUUGUGGUUUGCUGCACAUGAAGCUAGUGCAGAUAAGCACGUGACUUUGAGUAAAUGUAAUCCACUGGUAAAAGGACUUCAAGAAGUAAGUAUUUUUUUGUUUUUACUAUUUAUCGUUUUAUAUAAUACAUUUAAAGUGAGGUGAUCUGAUUUUUAAAAGUAAGUACUAUCAUGAAAAAAUAAUAGAUGAACAGAAUACUAUCAUAAAAGAAUAAUUGUAAUUAACUGUAUAAUUUUUAUUUAAUUAUUUUUUGCAGAAAACAAAUCAGCUUAAUCCCAUCACGACAGUUGGUAAAGAAUUAAAGAAAAGGUUAAUGGCUGAAAUAAAGCAAACAUUUUCCAACAUUGAGUCUGUUAAAGUGUAUCACAUCGCAACGCUUCUUGAUCCUCGACACAAAAAAAUUGGUUUCCAGAGUAUCCUUAAUUGUUCACGUGCUAUAGAGACUGUGGGUUCACUGGUAAAAGAGGAGGUGAAAGUGUCAAAAAACUUAGCUAUUGAGUGUGAUAGUCGGCUAGCUAUUGAAGAUCAACAGUCAUCAAACAAAGAUAAAAAUUUCUGGAAUUUUUUGGAUCAAGCUGUACAAUUGAGUAAUCAGUACAACGACAAUGAUGAAGCGGGUGGAGUUCCAAUUGAAUUAAGGCAAUUUAUUAAUCGGCCGAUAGUACAUAGAUAGAAGUAGUACACCAGAUCCAUUACUUGUUUGGAAAAGUAUCGAAAAUGAGUAUCCUCACGUAUCGAGGGUUACAAAAAAAAAUUCUUAUCGAUUGUUGCGACUUCAACACCUUGUGAACGUUUAUUUUCGCAUACUGGGCUAACUGCGAAUCAAAUUCGCAGCCGGUUAACGCCUGAUCACUUAAAUAUGCUUCUGUGUUAAAGAUCUGUCGGGGAAAAUGUAUGGUUUUCUAAAACUGGCAAUUAGCUUAUUGUUCUUUUACUUAUCUUAAAUUUAUUUAAAAACUUAUUUUAUUAAACUUGUUUAAACAGCUUGAAUUAUUUAAAAAAAUUUAUAUGAAAUGUAAUG